GCUCACCACCUCUAAGGAGGAGCACUGACUGAAGACAGGAAUGAUUUCGGCAUGUCUAGGAGAGUCAGAGAAAAGACGGGAGGGAAAUGGGGGAGAAAGAAAAACGUGAGAGAACCUUCUACUUCCUGAAAGGCACCAUGACUCUGGAAUGUUACCUGUAAUUAAGAAUGUCAGAAGAACCGAGCCUCCAUUCUAAAGUUUCUGUGGUGAAGUCAUCUGUAUUUCCUAGGAAACUUGAAGAGGAACAAACUGAAACUUGACAAAACUCAGAAGAGACUUACAAGAAUCAGAAAUGCACACAUGGUGCCAUAUUUGGAAGUCAUGAAGAAAAACUGAACAGCAUUACCGAGGAAAAACUUCUUACUCCUAAAUAUGCAACACUGUCAGUAAGAAGCACAUUAAGGCUAAGGGUUACUAAUAAUAUUUAAAUAAAUGUGGCCAUUAUGCUUCUAGGGAAUUAAA
rnacentral:sRNA from 1 species